rnacentral:rRNA from 1 species
CAGUCGCCACGGGAAUACGAGGGGGGCAAGCGUUGUUCGGAUUUAUUGGGCGUAAAGGGUGCAUAGGCGGUUUGGCAAGUCUUGUGUGAAAUCUAUGGGCUCAACCCAUAGCCUGCACGAGAAACUACCGGGCUUGAGUAAUGGAGAGGUGAGUGGAAUUUCCGGUGUAGCGGUGAAAUGCGUAGAUAUCGGAAGGAACACCUGUGGCGAAAGCGGCUCACUGGACAUUAACUGACGCUGAUGCACGAAAGCUAGGGGAGCAAACAGGAUUAGAUACCCCAGUAGUCCCUGUCUCUUAUAC